CAGUAGAGGAAAGUGGAACUCCAUGUGUAGCGGUGAAAUGCGUAGAUAUAUGGAAGAACACCAGUGGCGAAGGCGGCUUUCUGGACUGUAACUGACGUUGAGGCUCGAAAGUGUGGGUAGCAAACAGGAUUAGAUACCCUGGUAGUCCACACCGUAAACGAUGAGUGCUAGGUGUUUGAGGGUUUCCGCCCUUAAGUGCCGCAGCUAACGCAUUAAGCACUCCGCCUGGGGAGUACGACCGCAAGGUUGAAACUCAAAGGAAUUGACGGGGACCCGCACAAGCGGUGGAGCAUGUGAUUUAAUUCGAAGCAACGCGAAGAACCUUACCAGGUCUUGACAUCCCUUGACAACUCCAGAGAUGGAGCGUUCCCUUCGGGGACAAGGUGACAGGUGGUGCAUGGUUGUCGUCAGCUCGUGUCGUGAGAUGUUGGGUUAAGUCCCGCAACGAGCGCAACCCUUAUUACUAGUUGCCAGCAUUUAGUUGGGCACUCUAGUGAGACUGCCGGUGACAAACCGGAGGAAGGUGGGGAUGACGUCAAAUCAUCAUGCCCCUCAUGACCUGGGCUACACACGUGCUACAAUGGCGUAUACAACGAGUUGCCAACCCGCGAGGGUGAGCUAAUCUCUUAAAGUACGUCUCAGUUCGGAUUGUAGGCUGCAACUCGCCUACAUGAAGUCGGAAUCGCUAGUAAUCGCGGAUCAGCACGCCGCGGUGAAUACGUUCCCGGGUCUUGUACACACCGCCCGUCACACCAUGAGAGUUUGUAACACCCAAAGUCGGUGGGGUAACCUUCGGGAGCCAGCCGUCUAAGGUGGGACAGAUGAUUAGGGUGAAGUCGUAACAAGGUAGCCGUA
rnacentral:rRNA from 1 species